AUUGAACGCUGGCGGCAGGCCUAACACAUGCAAGUCGAGCGGAACGGGGGACGGGUAAUUAAUGCCUAGGAAUCUGCCUGGUAGUGGGGGAUAACGUCCGGAGACAGGCGACAUUGCAGCAUACUAUCAGAUCAGCCUAGGUCGGAUUAGCUAGUUGGUCGGGUAAAGGCUUACCAAGGCGACGAUCCGUAACCGGUCUGAGAGGAGGAUCAGUCACACUGGAACUGAGACACGGUCCAGACUCCUACGGGAGGCAGCAGGGGGGAAUAGUGGGCAAUGGGCGAAAGCCUGAUCGAGCCAUGCCGCGUGUGUGAAGAAGGUUUUCGGAUUGUAAAGCUCUGUAAGUAGGGAUGCGGUACCAAAAGAGUAAGCACCGGCUAACUUCGUGCCAGCAGCCGCGGUAAUAC
rnacentral:rRNA from 1 species